CGCCCUCCGCUGGCUCCUCCCAAGCUAGGUGGUGCGGGGGAGCCCCGGUCCCCGCCUCGCAGGGCAGAGGCCCGAGGAGCAGCCGUCCAGCGGCUCGGGUCCUCCCGCCACCCGCGAGGGAGGGCCACAGUACGCCCUGCGCUCUGUGGGCUAUGCCAACCGGAGGCCAGAGCUUCUGUCCCGACGCUGCCCAGAGCGAGAGGAGCCAAGCCGGGGUGAUUGAGGACAGUAACGAGGGGACCCGGGACAGGCACAGGAGAAGGGAUCGAGCCAGAAAGAGCCUCGCCACACGCCCUCGUGGCCCCUUUGUGUGACUAAAUUUGGCAAGAAUAUGGAUCCAAGCCAGUCUUUCCACGUGUGCUCCCAGCUCCCAGCUGAGAAGGCCAAGGGUUCUCUUCCGGGGAAACCAGUUCGGCUAUUAAGGGAGCCUCUCAACACAAGAUAAGGCGAGGUUUCAGAGAGAAUAGCUGUUUACCAUCAAAGCAAACUGGUUCCACGCAGACAUGGUAUAUUAUACACAAAGACGAAGCCCCUGAAUGCAAGUCAUCUACUGCAACAGGUGUGACCCAUUGAAAUGGUCUUCCUUCAAAUAUUGAAGAAAAAUCCUGAUGUGUUGGACUUAUUGACAUGAGAUGUUCACUUUUCAAUUGAUAUUCAUUACUUGUAGUUUCCAUAUUUAUGAAUUCACCAACUUGCUAAAACUUACUAGUAACUCCAAUCCAUAUUUGUACACUUUCGCACUUAUUCGCUCAUUUUUAGUCCUGUCCCAAAGAAUGAAAAAUUCAGGUUGCCCUGCCGCAGUCUGGCUGGGCACAAAUCACCGAGCUGCCACAAAGCACUUGUAUCUACAAACAGGAAACUUUAUUGCCUGAACUCCAACAGCAUUCCACACACACUCUCCGGGAACUCUCCCGAACCACCCAUGCGGCUUCUCCAGGAACACACCACACACCAACCGGAAACCCCUCCACCGGAACCUCACCAACUAACGGGAACUCUUCAGGAAUCCCCGCGAGAGCUCAACCGGAACUCAACGGGAACUCCUCGAGAACUCAAAAGUCAUCAUCUUAACCACUGGCGUCACCUCUCAACCACUACUUCUGGCAAAAAUGCCAUGCGUCAUCCCGACUCGGCUGUGGCCCUCAACAUCGCCCAGUGUACAAGUUUCCCAGCCAAUGUUGAACAAGGGAAGCUCCACCUUCUCAUUUCAGUUCUUUGAUUUUUGCUGGGCAUGGAGCACACCAGUAAUCCCAGCAAUCUGGGAUUGCAAGUUUGAGGUCAGCCUUGGCAAUUUAGCAAAAUCCUGUCUCAAGAGACAAAAUAAAAAGGGCUAAGGAUGUGGCUCAGUGAUAAAGUGUCCCCCUGGGUUCAAUCCCCAGUACCAAAAAAAAGGUGUUGCACACUUUUCCCUUUGGCAAUCAAUUUAGUGCCACUUUCUUCUUCUCCUUCUUCUUCUCCUCUUUCUUCUUCUUCUGGUGAUUUCACUGCUUGCACUGCUUAUAGUGCCCCAAGCAUAGUACUGAAGGGAUAUCCUGUGUUCCUAAGCACAAGAAGACCAUACAGAUAAAUAUGUAUGUUAGAUAAGUUUCAUUCAGGUGUGAGUUUAGUGCUGUUGUCCAUGAAUUCUGUGACCAUGAAUCAAUAAUCUAUAUUAAAAAAGUGUCUUUAAACAGAAGUACAAUGUUCUUGUUUGCAUCUGGAAUGUCCCCCAAAGGCUUAUGUACUUGAAGUCUUGGUCCCAAUGUAGCAAUGUCCAAAAGUGGGUCUUUUGGAAAAUGAUUGGAUCAUGAGGACUCUAACCUCAUCAGUGGAUUAAUCCACUUGAUGAAUUAAUUUGAAUGGUUUAUUGGGAGAGGAUGAAAACUAUAGGUAGCCGGAGCAUGGUUGGAGGAAAUAGAUCACUGAGCAUGCCCUUGGGACUAUAUCUUGUCCCUGACUCCUUCUACUCUCCCUCUGCUUUCUGACUGCCAUGAGCUGAGGAGCUUUUCUCUGCUACGACUUUCUGCCAUGAUGUCCUGCCACACCUCAAGCCCAAAGUAAUGAAGCCAGAGUAAAUCUUUCCUUCUCUAAGUUGUUUGUGUCAGGUAUUUUGGUCACAGCAAACACACACACGUAUAAAACAAGCUUGUAUAUUGAUGUGACUAGAGGCUUGAAGGAACCAGACUUGAUAUUUCCCUGAAGAACAAAUGCUUAGUGCUUGCUGACUCAGUGUUUACAGUAACUUUGCAGAACAUAACUUCUGCAAUCACGAAGAAUCAAGUGCACUUUCCUCAGGAAUAGUCAAGAGUUAUUUAUUUAUUUGUAAUUUUUAAACAUGACUGUAUCCAUACCAUCUCCCACUGCCCCAAAAUGGAGUCCUCUGUAUCUUGAGUGUGAAACAAGAGGCAUUCCAAUUCCCAUAACAUCCUUUCUUGGUGUCUUCUUCUUGAGCUUGUUAGACUGUUAUUUAAAAGUCUAGGAGAGAAAUUUUGUUUGUUUUGAGAUGGGGUUUUCUUAUGUUGCCCAGGCUGGCCUUGAACUCCUGGGCUCAAGUGAACCUCUUGACAACUCUUGAGAAGCUGGGACUAUAGGUGUGGACCACCACACUUGGCUCGAGAUUUUUAUUCUUUUAAUUUUACAUUAAAUGUUGUAUGUUAAAUUUCAUCACCAUAAAUCACUGGUUUGUAUUAAGAAGUACUGAAUUACAAUUUUAGGAAAAGAAAAUUGCACCCUGAUUAAUGAUUUCUGGGUGACUUAGGAAAACAUUUUCUUAAUGACAAAAUUUUUUCCCCAUUAAGUUCCUUCAUGUUCUAAACACUACGUUAAGUACAAUAUAGACAUUAUUUUAUUGUAUCCUUACAACCUCAUUCCAAGGUAAAUUUUAUUAUCUUCACAAAUGACUAUCUGAAGAUCAGGGAGCUAGAUUUGAAUCCAUAUAAUUUGACCUUAAAGUCCAGGUCAUUCUACUACAGCAUAUGCAGCAGGAACCAAUCAUUCACGUUAACUGUUCUACCUUUUGUGAACUGUACAAAGCCCAUUAGGAGAAUACGGAUGCAGUUUAUUCAUCUGAACUGGAUGUAUCACAACAGUACCUUGACUCAAAGAAAGGCAAACAAUUCAAAGAGCAUGAGAUAGUUUGCAAAUUUGACCCGUGGUUUGUUUCUUUAACCAAAAAAGAGAGAUGUACAGGAAGAAAAAAGAAAGACAUGUACCAGACCAUUUAUUCUUAGAAUAUUUUAAUUAAUGAUAAAUGCAAAUAUUUAUAACUAUAUUUCAUAACCUGAAGAAAGCACAUAGUUCUAGAAAUGGCGCCUUUAGUUUCAGCAUACAUUGACAGUGAAACAGCAGCUGCUCUGUCACACACAUAAAACAGAUCUUCCUGCCGAAACUCUCAGGGUAAUGGUAAUUAAAUAGAUUUUUGGUUACUCCUGUCCUAUAUCCUGCACUAAGUUGAUUAACCUGUUUAAUGAGUAUAUGAGAAUGACCAAGGCUGACCUCACAUCAAAGAGCCCCGUUGUUGCUGUGUGCUGACCUGAAUUUUAAUUGUGUACUUGGUUCUUUAAUUGCACCCACGAUGUGCUAGAGAAUGAAGCAGGUUUUUAAAGUGGCAGUGGGUUUCUUUUCCCAGAUGUGUUCAGUUACUUGAAAUGUGCAGUGUUAGAUGUUGAUUUGCAAAUCCAGGCUCUGAACACUCUGAACAACAGUUUAACAGUUGUCUUCAAUACAGCUGGUGAUGGUGAUCCCUUUAAUUUAUAUGGUAAAACUUAUCUUUAUGUAUUAUUAAACAUCACAAAGGAGUUUGAGAGGGAAAAAAAUCCGUAAAUAAAUCAACAGUGAAUACAUUAGGAUCCAAAUAGUCUUUGGGAUUCCCUUAAGGCCUACAAGCUUGGUCUUCAGCUUCCCUGAGAACCAUUUCAGGCAGAUGUGGCCUCUUUAUUGAGUGCUGUCACCAAGGGCCAACUAUUACUUCAAGCUACAAGUAUCAGAUAGUAGAAAAAAGGAAGCUAGUUCUUAAGUGAUAAUAUUGAUUUAAAAAAAAAAAAACCUAAAGCUCAAUAGCAUUGACAGCAGUCUUCUCUCCAAUUCCUCUUUAAUUUAUUUUUGUAAGCAACUUGAAGAGGGUCUUUCAGCUGUCUACUUGCAAAAGGAUGAACAUUUUGAACUCAUUUUUCAUUGUGGCACUUAAAAAAAAUUGAAGGUCAUAUACUUCUGCUGC